rnacentral:rRNA from 1 species
GUUCAAGUUUUUAAGGGCAUACGGUGGAUGCCUUGGCAUCAGGAGCCGAUGAAGGACGUGGGAGCCUGCGAUAUGCCUCGGGGAGUCGGCAACCAGACUUUGAUCCGGGGAUUUCCGAAUGGGGGAACCUGGCACUCGUCAUGGGGUGUCGCCGCCGGCUGAAUGUAUAGGCCGGUUGGUGGGAACGCGGGGAAGUGAAACAUCUCAGUACCCGCAGGAAGAGAAAACAAUAGUGAUUCCGUGAGUAGUGGUGAGCGAAAGCGGAGGAGCCUAAACCGUGCGCGUGUGAUACCUGGUAGGGGUUGCGUGUGCGGGGUUGUGGGACCAUCCGGUCGGAUCUACCAGUCUGACAAGAAGUUACAAACUGCUCGGGUAGUCGAACGGCAUGGGAAGGCCGACCGUAGACGGUGAGAGUCCGGUAGACGAAACUUGAGUGGCUUCUGGGUGUGUUCCCGAGUAGCACGGGGCCCGUGAAAUCCCGUGUGAAUCUGCCACGACCACGUGGUAAGGCUGAAUACUUCCUGAUGACCGAUAGCGGACAAGUACCGUGAGGGAAAGGUGAAAAGUGCCCCGGUGAGGGGUCGUGAAAUAGUACCUGAAACCGUGUGCCUACAAGCCGUCAGAGCGUCCUC